rnacentral:rRNA from 1 species
AUUGAACGCUGGCGGCAGGCCUAACACAUGCAAGUCGAACGGUAACAGGAAGCAGCUUGCUGCUUUGCUGACGAGUGGCGGACGGGUGAGUAAUGUCUGGGAAACUGCCCGAUGGAGGGGGAUAACUACUGGAAACGGUAGCUAAUACCGCAUAACGUCGCAAGACCAAAGAGGGGGACCUUAGGGCCUCUUGCCAUCGGAUGUGCCCAGAUGGGAUUAGCUAGUAGGUGGGGUAACGGCUCACCUAGGCGACGAUCCCUAGCUGGUCUGAGAGGAUGACCAGCCACACGGGAAGUGAGACACGGUCCAGACUCCUACGGGAGGCAGCAGUGGGGAAUAUUGCACAAUGGGCGCAAGCCUGAUGCAGCCAUGCCGCGUGUAUGACGAAGGCCUUCGGGUUGUAAAGUACUUUCAGCGGGGAGGAAGGGAGUAAAGUUAAUACCUUUGCUCAUUGACGUUACCCGCAGAAGAAGCACCGGCUAACUCCGUG